GUGGGGAAUUUUGGACAAUGGGCGCAAGCCUGAUCCAGCAAUGCCGCGUGCAGGAUGAAGGCCUUCGGGUUGUAAACUGCUUUUGUACGGAACGAAAAGGCUCUGGUUAAUACCUGGGGCUCAUGACGGUACCGUAAGAAUAAGCACCGGCUAACUACGUGCCAGCAGCCGCGGUAAUACGUAGGGUGCGAGCGUUAAUCGGAAUUACUGGGCGUAAAGCGUGCGCAGGCGGUGAUGUAAGACAGUUGUGAAAUCCCCGGGCUCAACCUGGGAACUGCAUCUGUGACUGCAUCGCUUGAGUGCGGCAGAGGGGGAUGGAAUUCCGCGUGUAGCAGUGAAAUGCGUAGAUAUGCGGAGGAACACCGAUGGCGAAGGCAAUCCCCUGGGCCUGCACUGACGCUCAUGCACGAAAGCGUGGGGAGCAAACAGGAUUAGAAACCCUUGUAGUCC
rnacentral:rRNA from 1 species